UACGUAGGAUGCAAGCGUUGUUCGGAAUUACUGGGCGUAAAGAGUACGUAGGCGGUCUGGCAAGUCUGAUAUUAAAGACUGGAGCUUAACUCCAGGACUGUAUCGGAAACUGCCAAACUAGAGGACAAUAGAGGAAGUCGGAAUUCUCAGUGUAGCGGUGAAAUGCGUAGAUAUCAGGAGGAACACCGGUGGCGAAGGCGGGAUCCUGGGCCAGUACUGACGCUGAGGAGCGAAAGCGUGGGGAGCAAACAGG
rnacentral:rRNA from 1 species